UACGUAGGGGCUAGCGUUGUCCGGAAUUAUUGGCGUAAAGAGCGUGUAGGCGGUUCGAUAAGUUUGCUGUAAAGUCGGGGCUCAACCCCGAAGCGUGAUACUGUCGACUAGAGUACGGAAGAGCGAGUGGAAUUCUGUGUAGCGUGAAAUGCGCAGAUAUCAGAGACACAUGCGAGCAGCUCGCUGGACGUACUGACGCUGAGACGCGAAGCGUGGGAGCAACAG
rnacentral:rRNA from 1 species